UACAGAGGUCCCAAGCGUUGUUCGGAUUCACUGGGCGUAAAGGGUGCGUAGGUGGCCAGGUAAGUUUGGUGUGAAAGCUCGGAGCUUAACUCCGAAAUGUCAUUGAAUACUAUCUGGCUGGAGGGUCGGAGGGGAGACUGGAAUUCUCGGUGUAGCAGUGAAAUGCGCAGAUAUCGGGAGGAACACCGGUGGCGAAGGCGGUUCUCUGGGCCUUACCUGACGCUGAGGAGCGAAAGCGUGGGGAGCGAACAGG
rnacentral:rRNA from 1 species